rnacentral:rRNA from 1 species
AUUGAACGCUGGCGGCAUGCCUUACACAUGCAAGUCGAACGGCAGCACGGGAGCAAUCCUGGUGGCGAGUGGCGAACGGGUGAGUAAUGUAUCGGGACGUACCUUUCAGGUGGGGAUAACGUAGCGAAAGUUACGCUAAUACCGCAUAUUCUGUGAGCAGGAAAGCAGGGGAUCGCAAGACCUUGCGCUGAUUGAGCGGCCGAUAUCAGAUUAGCUAGUUGGUGAGGUAAAGGCUCACCAAGGCGACGAUCUGUAGCGGGUCUGAGAGGAUGAUCCGCCACACUGGAACUGAGACACGGUCCAGACUCCUACGGGAGGCAGCAGUGGGGAAUUUUGGACAAUGGGCGAAAGCCUGAUCCAGCCAUGCCGCGUGAUAGAUGAAGGCCCUCUGGGUUGUAAAUAUCUUUUAUCUGGGAAGAAACUCCUCUAUUCUUAGAGGCCUGACGGUACCAGAGGAAUAAGCACCGGCUAACUCCGUG